rnacentral:rRNA from 1 species
AUUGAACGCUGGCGGCAGGCCUAACACAUGCAAGUCGAGCGGAUGAAGGGAGCUUGCUCCUGGAUUCAGCGGCGGACGGGUGAGUAAUGCCUAGGAAUCUGCCUGGUAGUGGGGGAUAACGUCCGGAAACGGGCGCUAAUACCGCAUACGUCCUGAGGGAGAAAGUGGGGGAUCUUCGGACCUCACGCUAUCAGAUGAGCCUAGGUCGGAUUAGCUAGUUGGUGGGGUAAAGGCCUACCAAGGCGACGAUCCGUAACUGGUCUGAGAGGAUGAUCAGUCACACUGGAACUUAGACACGGUCCAGACUCCUACGGGAGGCAGCAGUGUGGAAUAUUGGACAAUGGGCGAAAGCCUGAUCCAGCCAUGCCGCGUGUGUUAAGAAGGUCUUCGGAUUGUAAAGCACUUUAAGUUGGGAGGAAGGGCAGUAAGUUAAUACCUUGCUGUUUUGACGUUACCAACAGAAUAAGCACCGGCUAACUUCGUG